rnacentral:rRNA from 1 species
UACAGAGGUCCCAAGCGUUGUUCGGAUUCACUGGGCGUAAAGGGUGCGUAGGUGGUGAGGUAAGUCGGAUGUGAAAGCUCGGAGCUCAACUCCGAAAUGGCAUUGGAAACUACCUUGCUCGAGGGUUGGAGGGGGGACUGGAAUACUUGGUGUAGCAGUGAAAUGCGUAGAUAUCAAGUGGAACACCAGUGGCGAAGGCGAGUCCCUGGACAACUCCUGACACUGAGGCACGAAAAGCUAGGGGAGCAAACAGG